AGGACGACGCUGGCGGCGUGCUUAAUGAAUGCGAGUCGAACGGGAUCCGAGUAGAGUCUUCGGACGACGCUCGGUGAGAGUGGCGAACGGGUGAGUAACACGUGGGUAACCUGCCUCCAACACGGGCAUAACAGAGGGAAACUUCUGCUAAUUCCCGAUAUACUCCUAGAACGCGAGUUUCCGGGAGGAAAGCUUUUGCGGUUGGAGAUGGGCCCGCGGCCGAUUAGCUUGUUGGUAGGGUAAUGGCCUACCAAGGCGACGAUCGGUAGCCGACCUGAGAGGGUGACCGGCCACACUGGGACUGAGACAUGGUCCAGACUCCUACGGGAGUUAGCAUCAGGGAAUCUUGCGCAAUGGGCGAAAGCCUGACGCAGCGACGCCGCGUGGGUGAUGAAGGUCUGCGGAUCGUAAAGCCCUGUCAGGUGGGAAGAAGUUCUGACUGUACCACCAGAGGAAGCCCCGGCUAACUACGUG
rnacentral:rRNA from 1 species